rnacentral:rRNA from 1 species
UACGGGGGGUGCAAGCGUUACUCGGAAUCAUUGGGCGUAAAGGGCGCGCAGGCGGUCUGGCAAGUCAGAUGUGAAAGCCCGGGGCUCAACCCCGGAAGUGCAUUUGAUACUGCCAGACUUGAGUAUGGGAGAGGGAAGUGGAAUUCCUGGUGUAGAGGUGAAAUUCGUAGAUAUCAGGAGGAACACCGGUGGCGAAGGCGACUUCCUGGACCAAUACUGACGCUGAGGCGAGAAGGCGUGGGGAGCAAACAGG